UACGUAGGGCGCAAGCGUUGUUCGGAAUCAUUGGGCGUAAAGCGCGUGUAGGUGGUUAUAUAAGUCGAGUGUGAAAUCCCUGGGCUCAACCGAGGAAGUGCACUUGAAACUGCAUAACUAGAGGGCAAUAGAGGAAGGUGGAAUUCCUAGUGUAGAGGUGAAAUUCGUAGAUAUUAGGAGGAAUACCGGUGGCGAAGGCGACCUUCUGGGUUGCACCUGACACUGAGACGCGAAAGCAUGGGUAGCAAACAGG
rnacentral:rRNA from 1 species